UACGGAGGGUGCGAGCGUUUGUCCGGAAUCACUGGGCGUAAAGGGCGCGUAGGCGCCUUCUAAGUCGAACGUGAAAUCCCCGGGCUCAACCCGGGAACUGCGUCCGAUACUGGAAGGCUUGAAUCCGGGAGAGGGAUGCGGAAUUCCAGGUGUAGCGGUGAAAUGCGUAGAUAUCUGGAGGAACACCGGUGGCGAAGGCGGCAUCCUGGACCGGCAUUGACGCUGAGGCGCGAAAGCCAGGGGAGCAAACGGG
rnacentral:rRNA from 1 species